AAUGACGGUAGCGUGAGAAGAAGCCCCGGCUAACUUCGUGCCAGCAGCCGCGGUAAUACGAAGGGUGCAAGCGUUACUCGGAAUUACUGGGCGUAAAGCGUGCGUAGGUGGUGGUUUAAGUCUGUUGUGAAAGCCCUGGGCUCAACCUGGGAAUUGCAGUGGAUACUGGGUCACUAGAGUGUGGUAGAGGGUAGCGGAAUUCCCGGUGUAGCAGUGAAAUGCGCAGA
rnacentral:rRNA from 1 species